GCAACUUUCAUGCUCACCCUUGCUAUAUCAUGAUAAAACAUUGCAGAUAAGGCGAAUACGGCCAGAUACAGGAAAAGGAUAAUGCCAAGUUCAGCUUGGGAUAGAAUGUGAAGUUAAGUUGUAAAGUAUGUUGAAGAAUAGUAUUGUCAUGUGUUAGACAGUCACGAUUGUGUAUUAGUUAAGGUUACUCGAUUUUGGGAAUAGUGUAAUGUAUAAACAAUCUAUGUUUAUAUCUUCCGCAAACAGUUGUAGAAAUAGCGAACCGGAUCCACGGCGAUUUGGGACCCGGAUUUGGGGCUGCUACAGGCCCCACUUUUGGUUGGUGUGGAAAUUCUAAAUUUUAGUGGGCCCCACUUGUGAUGGCUGAUAAUUUGGUCAAAUAAAUGUGCAUCGAAUUUGUUUUUUUUUAUUAA
rnacentral:lncRNA from 1 species